rnacentral:rRNA from 1 species
GACAGAGGAUGCAAGCGUUAUCCGGAAUGAUUGGGCGUAAAGCGUCUGUAGGUGGCUUUUUAAGUCCGCCGUCAAAUCCCAGGGCUCAACCCUGGACAGGCGGUGGAAACUACCAAGCUGGAGUACGGUAGGGGCAGAGGGAAUUUCCGGUGGAGCGGUGAAAUGCGUAGAUCUUGGAAAGACCACCAAUGGCGAAGGCACUCUACUGGGCCAUUACUGACACUAAGAGACGAAAGCUAGGGGAGCAAAUGGG